UAAGGCAAGAGUGUACUACUUAGUGUCUU
rnacentral:piRNA from 1 species